rnacentral:lncRNA from 1 species
AAAGAGAGUAAUAAGGAUUACAUAGAGAGAGAGAGAGAGAGGGGAUGGAGAUGGAGUUGGCUAGAGGAUCAAAGAGAGAAGCACAGAACAACUACAGGGCCAAAUUAAGUCAAUUCAAACUUUUUACGCGCAAUUAAAGCUCAUAUCACUAUACUAACUAGCGUUAUCGCUUGCUCGGACUGAACUAGCGCUUUGACUGAGCAAAAUUCUACUAGUCAGUCAGCGGUGAAUAGACCAGUUUGGCCUUGAUUCUUGUUCAAGCCAACCAGUUUGUCUUUGAGUGAGGCCGACUAGAAAUGUCUAUAAGUGAUAGCCAUCCAAUUUGUUUACAAGUUGAAUGGGCUAUUUAAUAACAAUGACCUUUCUUAAAAUGAUUUCAACAAGUGCGACAAAAUGUUUUUUUUAUGGACAGAUUUGUUACAGCAAGAUCUUCCACUAGGAGAGAAGUUACAGUCAAAUUGUUCAUACAUGUAGCCGCCAUUAAUGAGCCUGAACUAUCGUAGUCACAGAUCACACUGGUGGUCAUCUUUGCUCCAAAGUUCCAUGGUCCUUGUUUCUUUUUGUUGGCAAAGCAUCCCGUGUAGCUUCCUGGAAAAAAGUUUGACUUUCUUAUAGAGGAGGGCAAUGAGGUUAUGGACUUUUGGACUCAUCUCACUUUGUGGUAAAAGACAAUAGGAGUCACAAUGUCAAAAAUUUUCUCUCUAGCUGGAGCGCAAGCUAAUAGGUGGUUUUAAGCUACAUGUUGAUUUUGAGAUUUUGUAUUGCUAAGACUAUUCUAAGUCCCAUUCUUUUUCUUUCUUUUGUUUUGUAAGGUUGCUUGUCACAAAGGCCAGAACUUUGUAAUUUAAUAAAGCUUCCAUGAUCUAAAAAUAUCAUUCAUAUAUAUUACUCCCUCCAACAACAAAAUUGACGUACUAGUUUUAAU